UACAGAGGCCCCAAGCGUUACUGAGAAUCACUGGGUUUAAAGGGUGCGUAGGUGGCGCGUUAAGUCCGUUGUGAAAGCCCUGGGCUCAACCCAGGAACUGCUUCGGAUACUGGCGCGCUUGAGGCUAGUAGGGGUCACUGGAACUGACGGUGGAGCGGUGAAAUGCGUAGAUAUCACUUGGAACGCCAAUGGUGAAAACAGGUAGCUGGGGAUGUGCCGACGCUGAGACACGAAAGCCAGGGGAGCGAACGGG
rnacentral:rRNA from 1 species